rnacentral:lncRNA from 1 species
CUUAGAGAAGGCAAGUGAUUUGCUGGGGUCGCACAGCCUGCAAGUGGUGGAACUCAUGUCCAGGGCUGCUGGAGAAUGCUGGAGAAUAUUCCUAAAGUCCUUUAUCGGAAUUUCAGCAGCUGAGACAGAUGGGGGGUGGGGGGGAACAGGUAUUCAGGGAGGGGUUUGGGGAGGACACAGGAACACUUAAAACCAUUUUUUCAAGCGACCUCAGUCCUGACUGGGGACUUUGGCUCUUCUCUUUCAGGCCCUGUGUCUCAGAGCCCAGCUGGGGACUGGCUUGUCUGAGAAGCUAAUUCUAGCUAAAGUGUUAACAGCUGAAUGGGUCGUCCAUGUGCUCAGCGAUGGGGACUUUCAGUCUUUGAGGACAUGGGGCAGGAUGGAAAGGCCAGAAACCCAGGUUUCCCGCCUGGACCAAGCUUCAGCCUCUGGCGAGCCUCAGCCUUGGGUGUCGGCCUUCCGGAGUCUCCUGCUCAUUCGCUCAGAGGGAACAUGCCACGUUGGAGAAACAAGCAUCUUGCAGACGGCUGGUGGCGCUUCUCCUCUCCAAUCGCUGCGUGGCAUUUUCCUUGCCUCACCGCAGUGCCAGGACCUCCAGCCUGAUGUUGGAUGGGACGGUGAGCGUGAGCAUGCUUUUCCUUGUUCGCCUCUCGGGGGAGGUGGCAGUAUUUCUGCAGCAAGGAUGAUGUUAGCGUGUGUUUUUCUCAGAUCAGAGCUCGGACGAUUCCCUUUACUCUUGAUUUCCUAUGACUCUUAUCAGGUAUGUGUGGAAUUGAUUGUAUGUUUUCUUUCUUUCUUUAUUUUUUGUCUUUUUUGCUAUUUCUUGGGCUGCUCCCACGGCAUAUGGAGGUUCCUAGGCGAGGGGUCGAAUCGGAGCUGUAGCCACCAGCCUACGCCAGAGCCACAGCAACGCAGGAUCCGAGCCGCGUCUGCAACCUACACCACAGCUCACGGCAACGCCGGAUCGUCAACCCACUGAGCAAGGGCAGGGACCGAACCCGCAACCUCAUGGUUCCUAGUUGGAUUCGUUAACCACUGCGCCACGACGGGAACUCCUGAUUGUAUGUUUUAUUUCUUGAUGUAUGUAUGUAUUUAAUUUUUUUUUGCUUUUUAAGGCUGCACCCACGGCAUAUGAAGGUUCCCAGGCUAGGGGUCCAAUUGGAGCUGCAGCUGCCAGCCUACACCAGAGCCACAGCAACGCCAGAUCCGGGCCACCUCUGCAACCUACGCCACAGCUCAUGGCAACGCUGGACCCCCAACCCACUGAGCAAGGCCAGGGAUCGAACCUGGGUCCUCAUGGAUACUAGGUGGGUAUGUUUCCGCUGCACCACAACGGGAACUCCUGAUCGUAUGUUUCAAAGUGUCACCUUUCUUCUUUUAAUAAAGUAAACUACACAGGCUUUAAAGAGUUAAAA